AUUGAACGCUGGCGGCAGGCCUAACACAUGCAAGUCGAACGAGUGGCGGACGGGUGAGUAAUGUCUGGGAAACUGCCUGAUGGAGGGGGAUAACUACUGGAAACGGUAGCUAAUACCGCAUACCAUCAGAUGUGCUCAGAGGGGAUUAGCUAGUAGGUGGGGUAACGGCUCACCUAGGCUACGAUCCCUAGCUGGGCUGAGAGGAUGACCAGCCACACUGGAACUGAGACACGGUCCAGACUCCUACGUGAGGCAGCAGUAGGGAAUAUUGCACAAUGGGCGCAAGCCUGAUGCAGCCAUGCCGCGUGUAUGAAGAAGGCCUUCGGGUUGUAAAGUACUUUCAGCGGGGAGGCGUUACCCGCAGAGGAAGCACCGGCUAACUCCGUGCCAGCAGCCGCGGUAAUUC
rnacentral:rRNA from 1 species